GCAGGAGUGAUGGAAUGGCAUACAUACCUGUUCCAGAAGCAGGUUUUUGAGGGUUCAACUCCCUUCUCCUGUA
rnacentral:tRNA from 1 species